UCCCAGUGGUCCAGUGGUAAAGAAUCUGCCUGCAAUGCAGAAGACCCAGGUUUGAUCCCUGGACUUGAAA
rnacentral:tRNA from 1 species